GAUGAACGCUAGCUACAGGCUUAACACAUGCAAGUCGAGGGGAAACGGCAUCGAAAGCUUGCUUUUGAUGGGCGUCGACCGGCGCACGGGUGAGUAACGCGUAUGCAACCUGACCAUCACUUGGGAAUAACCUUGCGAAAGUAAGACUAAUGCCCAAUGACAUCCCACGAAGGCAUCCGAAUGGGAUUAAAGACUUAUCGGUGAUGGAUUGGGAUGCGUUUGAUGAGCUUGUUGGCGGGGUGACGGCCCACCAAGGCAACGAUCAGUAGGGGUUCUGAGAGGAAGGUCCCCCACAUUGGAACUGGGACACGGACCAAACUCCUACGGGAGGCAGCAGUGAGGAAUAUUGGUCAAUGGGCGAGAGCCUGAACCAGCCAAGUAGCGUGCAGGAUGACGGCCCUAUGGGUUGUAAACUGCUUUUAUAAGGGAAUAAAGUGGGUCACGUGUGACUUUUUGCAUGUACCUUAUGAAUAAGGACCGGCUAAUUCCGUG
rnacentral:rRNA from 1 species